GACGUAGGUGGCGAACGUUAUCCGGAAUUAUUGGGCGUAAAGGGCGCGUAGGCGGCGCGGGGAGUCAACGGUGAAAGCUCGGCGCUCAACGCCGAGUCGGCCGUCGAUACUCCCGUGCUCGAGCACUGUAGAGGCAGGUGGAAUUCCGGGUGUAGCGGUGGAAUGCGUAGAGAUCCGGAAGAACACCGGUGGCGAAGGCGGCCUGCUGGGCAGUAGCUGACGCUGAGGCGCGACAGCGUGGGGAGCAAACAGG
rnacentral:rRNA from 1 species